UACGUAGGUGACCAGCGUUGUCCGGAUUUACUGGGCGUAAAGAGCGCGCAGGCGGUCGUUCAAGUCGAGUGUGAAAGCCCCCGGCUCAACUGGGGGAGGUCAAUGGAGACUGGCAGACUUGAGGGCAACAGAGGCACAUGGAACUCCCGGUGUAGCGGUGGAAUGCGUAGAGAUCGGGAAGAACACCUGCGGCGAAGGCGGGUUGCUGGGCUGAUACUGACGCUGAGGCGCGAAAGCCAGGGGAGCGAACGGG
rnacentral:rRNA from 1 species